CAGCCGUAAACAAUGUGCGUUAGGUGUGUCGGUAACCACGCGUUACUGAUGCGCCGAAGAGAAAUCGUGAAACGCACCACCUGGGAAGUACGGUCGCAAGGCUGGAACUUAAAGGAAUUGGCGGGGGAGCACCACAACAGGUGGAGCCUGCGGUUUAAUUGGAUUCAACGCCGGACAUCUCACCGGAUAAGACAGCUGAAUGAUUGUCAAUCUGAAGGUUUUACAUGACUAGCUGAGAGGAGGUGCAUGGCGUCAGUGACU
rnacentral:rRNA from 1 species